rnacentral:snoRNA from 1 species
GCUCAGAUGAUAUGCUAAAACAACAAGGUGUUCCUGAGAUUUCUCUUUGAGGAUUACAAAAUCGAGCUUUUUAAAGCUGAUGGCU